AGCGAACGCUGGCGGCAUGCCUAACACAUGCAAGUCGAACGAGACCUUCGGGUCUAGUGGCGCACGGGUGCGUAACGCGUGGGAAUCUGCCCUUCGGUUCGGAAUAACAGUGGGAAACUACUGCUAAUACCGGAUAAUGACGUAAGUCCAAAGAUUUAUCGCCGAAGGAUGAGCCCGCGUAGGAUUAGCUAGUUGGUGGGGUAAAGGCCUACCAAGGCGACGAUCCAUAGCNGGUCUGAGAGGAUGAUCAGCCACACUGGGACUGAGACACGGCCCAGACUCCUACGGGAGGCAGCAGUGGGAAUAUUGGACAAUGGGCGCAAGCCUGAUCCAGCAAUGCCGCGUGAGUGAUGAAGGCCUUCGGGUUGUAA
rnacentral:rRNA from 1 species